rnacentral:rRNA from 1 species
GAUGAACGCUGGCGGCGUGCCUAAUACAUGCAAGUCGGGCGAACGGACGAGAAGCUUGCUUCUCUGAUGUUAGCGGCGGACGGGUGAGUAACACGUGGAUAACCUACCUAUAAGACUGGGAUAACUUCGGGAAACCGGAGCUAAUACCGGAUAAUAUUUUGAACCGCAUGGUUCAAAAGUGAAAGACGGUCUUGCUGUCACUUAUAGAUGGAUCCGCGCUGCAUUAGCUAGUUGGUAAGGUAACGGCUUACCAAGGCAACGAUGCAUAGCCGACCUGAGAGGGUGAUCGGCCACACUGGAACUGGGACACGGUCCAGACUCCUACGGUAGGCAGCAGUAGGGAAUCUUCCGCAAUGGGCGAAAGCCUGACGGAGCAACGCCGCGUGAGUGAUGAAGGUCUUCGGAUCGUAAAACUCUGUUAUUAGGGAAGAACAUAUGUGUAAGUAACUGUGCACAUCGUGACGGUACCUAAUCAGAAAGCCACGGCUAACUACGUG